rnacentral:rRNA from 1 species
CUCCUACGGGAGGCAGCAGUCGGGAAUUUUGGGCAAUGGGGGAAACCCUGACCCAGCAACGCCGCGUGAAGGAUGAAGUAUUUCGGUAUGUAAACUUCGAAAGAAUAGGAAGAAUUAAUGACGGUACUAUUUAUAAGGUCCGGCUAACUACGUGCCAGCAGCCGCGGUAAUACGUAGGGACCAAGCGUUGUUCGGAUUUACUGGGCGUAAAGGGCGCGUAGGCGGCAUGGCAAGUCACUUGUGAAAUCUCCGGGCUUAACUCGGAACGGCCAAGUGAUACUGCUGAGCUAGAGUGCAGAAGGGGCAAUCGGAAUUCUUGGUGUAGCGGUGAAAUGCGUAGAUAUCAAGAGGAACACCUGAGGUGAAGACGGGUUGCUGGGCUGACACUGACGCUGAUGCGCGAAAGCUAGGGGAGCAAACGGGAUUAGAUACCCCGGUAGUCCUAGCCCUAAACGAUGAAUACUUGGUGUCUGGAGGUUUAAUACUCCGGGUGCCGUCGCUAACGUUUUUAGU